UACGGAGGGUGCAAACGUUGCUCGGAAUCAUUGGGCGUAAAGCGCACGUAGGCGGUCCAGCAAGUCGGGUGUGAAAGCCCUCGGCUUAACCGAGGAAGUGCAUUCGAAACUACUGGGCUUGAGUACUGAAGAGGAUCGCGGAAUUCCCGGUGUAGAGGUGAAAUUCGUAGAUAUCGGGAGGAACACCAGUGGCGAAGGCGGCGACCUGGACAGAUAUUGACGCUGAGGUGCGAAAGCGUGGGGAGCAAACAGG
rnacentral:rRNA from 1 species